rnacentral:lncRNA from 1 species
AGGGAGAUGAAUAAAAAGCAAGGGUUACUUUAAAAACCAAACGAAGAGGCUUCCUCACUGUGGGCUCACUUCUGAGAAAAUUGCAGGGAGAAGGACAUGAUCAGCUAGCGAUUGAAAGAUGAUGUUUACAUUGGGGAUUUGUGGUCCUUUGGUCCAGGCUCGAAGGCAGCACACAGCUGCUGCAUCCCCAGCUCUUUGCUGAUGUCUCCCCCCAAAAGGCAAGCGGACAAAGGAGAGACCCAAAGAACUCAGGAAAGAUAGUUCAGAGGAGGGAAAAUAAAUGACACCCUUUGUUGAGUUCCACCUCUUUGGACUUCUGGCUUGUGUAUCUUUGUUGGCCCCAAUUCUUGGGAGUUAGAAGAACUCCCCCAACACUGACUGUGCAUGCAUGCCAAGGCCUCCAAGCAAUUAUUAGUCUGUGUUCAAGUGACUGAAAAUGUCAGGCCUCUUCACAAUGGGCCCACGAAGGAUUCUGGAGUCUGCUGGUAGGCCAUGGAACCCAGGGGAAAUAAGGAGUUCCACCUACAGUGA